rnacentral:rRNA from 1 species
GUGUCAGCCGCCGCGGUAAAACGUAGGUCCCGAGCGUUGUUCGGAUUCACUGGGUGUAAAGGGCGCGUAGGUGGCUGUCUGUGUCUCAUGUGAAAACUCAGGGCUCAACUCUGAGAUUGCGUGGGAAACUAGGCAGCUAGAGGACGGUAGAGGGGAGUGGAAUUCCCGGUGUAGCGGUAAAAUGCGUAGAUAUCGGGAGGAACACCGGUGGCGAAGGCGGCUUUCUGGACUGCACCUGACGCUGAGGCGCGAAAGCUAGGGGAGCGAACCGGAUUAGAUACCCGGGUAGUCCUAGCCGUAAACGAUGGGUGCUAGGUGUUGGGGGGUAAAGACCCUUCAGUGCCGAAGCCAACGCGAUAAGUGCCCCGCCUGGGGAGUACGGUCGCAAGGCUGAAACUCAAAGAAAUUGGCGG